GGUGACUUUGCUUAAUGUUUUCUGAAUUUGUGGCAUGGAUACAUUUAUCUGUUAGAUCACACAUCAUAAUCAACAGGAAGCAUUGUCUCCUGAGCAAUUUACUCUCACAUUGUCAUUUACUGGAUUUUCAUCUUAGAUCUUAUAAUAUAAGGUGAACAUUCCAGAGGCAUUUCUGUAUAUCAUUUUUAUAGUUUACAUAUCUUUCUACUGACUUUGAGCUAAGAAUAACCUUAAAUAGCUCAGCCUUGACAUUGUGACCACAUUCAGGAGAGGAUUUUGCUUAUCAUUUAUAAAAGUAGGAAAACCUGUAUGUGAACAUGUUGAAUUAACUAAAACUGAAAGAGUUUCAGUACUAUGUGUGAUUUUUCUUAAUUAUAGCUUUUGAAGUGGGAAACCCCUUCUUUAAUCUAGAUUUUAUGAGGUGAUAAAAUCCACCUUUAAUCUAGGCCACAGCUUCUGGUGGCAGCCUAUAAUAUAUAAAGGACAUUGAAGAUGGUAGCUGUUUCUCUUUGUCUGCUUGCCCUACCUCUGGCUAGCAAGUUGUUGUUGUUGUAGUGGUGGCGGUGGAAGUGGUGGUGGUGGUUUGGUUUUGUUUUUUCCUGGUACUAAAGCCUUCUUCUCUGGAAUUCUGGAAUAUACUGUAGACCAACUAGCAUAUCCAGCCACAUGGUCUGAACACUACUGGAUUCUUCAACUUUCCAUUGGUUGACAGCCAUUGUCAAACUAGUUGGACCACAGCUUGUGAGCCAUUCUAAUAAAUCCACUUUCUGCAUACAUGGAGAGAGUCCUUCUACCAGUUCUGUUCAUCUAGAGAACCUUCACUAAUACUCCUGUCGGUUUUGUGGUGGUGGUGUUGUUUUGGUUUUUUUGUUUGUUUGUUUUUGAUUUUGCUUUUAACCUUCCCACUGAGGACGAUGUGCCAGCUAACAAUAGUGUUCUACAGUGUUUGUCAUCUGUUUCCUGCUUUGUUUCAUACCUACCAGGUGAGAAGUAGCUGCAGUUUACCUGAACCCAGCAUGAAGCCACAAAGCUCUUGUUUCCUAAAAUCCUUCUUUGUUAAUAUUCUGGGCACCCUUCCACUUGUGGGACAGAUUAAUAACUCCACUGCAAGUUGAGUAACGGGUUAUGCAUGCUAUCUACCUUGAUUCCAGGAGGAAGAAGGGGAAAUGCCUACCGAGUGCUGUGAGGGGAGCUCAGUCAAUCUCUGAAGUAGGUACCUGGUGAGCACAGGGUCACUGCCCACAAAGGGGAGGAGCACAUGGCUGAGUAGCAGGAACUGAAGUGCUGGGUCCUCCCCGGAGAUGGGUGGAAGACAGAUGAGUAGGCUAUUGGAGGAUAGACGCAAAAUCUACUGAAAUGCAAAUCCUUGCAGAACUGGAAAAAGUCUGACUCUGGACUGGAAGUUUUGGGCCAGGAACCACGGUGCUGUAUCCCUAAGGGUUAGAGUGUAAUCGUGUCACUCAAGACUCACUGGCCAAUCAGAGCCUUAGGCAGAUCUGCCAAUCAGAAGGGGAGGAGGGUUCUUUCGGGUGCUAUGCGACUGGUUCCGCUUACCUGCUGAGCAUACUUGAAUGAUUUGGUGUGAUGUGCUCUGAGCCCUCCUUCUGGGUGCUGCGAGGUGUUCUGAGGCAAGCUCCGAAGUUGCGACAUGGUGAGCACAGGGUUACUGCCAACAACCGGGAGAAGCAGGGGGCUGAGCAGCGGGAACUGGUGUGGUGGGUCUUUCCCCGGGCUGGGUGGGAACCUGCGGCCACCAGUGAGGUCCUGUGAGGUCCUAGCCAUUCGCUGCACCCGAGGGUAGCCUCUGCAUAACUUCACUAUGGCAGCUGUAUCUGCUCAGAGCAUUUGGAACAGUGGGUUGUGCGUAGAAACAUCCCUGGCAGAAUG
rnacentral:lncRNA from 1 species